UACGGGGGGAGCAAACGUUGUUCGGAAUUACUGGGCGUAAAGGGCUCGUAGGUGGCCAACUAAGUCAGACGUGAAAUCCCCAGGCUUAACCUGGGAACUGCGUCUGAUACUGGAUGGCUUGAAUUCGGGAGAGGGAUGCAGAAUUCCUGGUGUAGCGGUGAAAUGCGCAGAUAUCAGGAGGAACACCGGUGGCGAAGGCGGAUCUCUGGGCCUUACCUGACGCUCAGGCGCGAAAGCUAGGGGAGCGAACUGG
rnacentral:rRNA from 1 species